rnacentral:rRNA from 1 species
UGCAUCGAUGAAGAACGCAGCCAGUUGCGAUAAGUAGUGUGAAUUGCAGAAUUCAGUGAAUCAUCGAAUCUUUGAACGCAAAUUGCGCUUUCUGGAUAUCCAGGGAGCAUGCCUGUCUGAGCGUCGUUUAAUAAUCUACACACCUUGGUGUGGGUAGGGAGGUCAUGCGACUCGUUUCCGAGACGCCUGUCUCUCGAUGUUUCUGAACCUAGCGGUGUGCACUGUGUGUACUGCUUGGAAGGCUCAACUUGCUUCUGUCCUUCUUCAGCAGUGCACUGACUCGCAUUACUAGUGUUUUCACUUCAGCUUUGCUGAAACAUACCACAUUUUGACCUCAGAUCAGACAAGACUACCCGCUGAAUUUAAGCAUAUCAAUAAGCGGAGGA